rnacentral:rRNA from 1 species
CAGUCGCCGCGGUAAUACGGAGGGUGCAAGCGUUAAUCGGAAUUACUGGGCGUAAAGCGUGCGUAGGCGGUUCGUUAAGUCUGUUGUGAAAGCCCCGGGCUCAACCUGGGAAUGGCAAUGGAUACUGGCGAGCUAGAGUGUGUUAGAGGAUGGUGGAAUUCCCGGUGUAGCGGUGAAAUGCGUAGAGAUCGGGAGGAACAUCAGUGGCGAAGGCGGCCAUCUGGGACAACACUGACGCUGAGGCACGAAAGCGUGGGGAGCAAACAGGAUUAGAUACCCCUGUAGUCCCUGUCUCUUAUAC